UACGGGGGGGGCAAGCGUUGUUCGGAAUUACUGGGCGUAAAGGCUCGUAGGCGGCCAACUAAGUCGGAUGUGAAAUCCCCAGGCUUAACCUGGGAACUGCAUUCGAGACUGCAUUACUAGAGUAUGGGAGAGGGAAGUGGAAUUUCCGGUGUAGCGGUGAAAUGCGUAGAUAUCGGAAGGAACAUCAGUGGCGAAAGCGACUUCCUGGACCAAUACUGACGCUCAUGUGCGAAAGCGUGGGGAGCAAACAGG
rnacentral:rRNA from 1 species